rnacentral:rRNA from 1 species
GUAAAGCACGUUUCAGUCGUGAGGAAGGUGGUAGUGUUAAUAGCACUAUCAUUUGACGUUAGCGACAGAAGAAAGCACCGGCUAACUCCGUGCCAGCAGCCGCGGUAAUACGGAGGGUGCGAGCGUUAAUCGGAAUUACUGGGCGUAAAGCGCAUGCAGGUGGUUUGUUAAGUCAGAUGUGAAAGACCCGGGGCGUCAACCUCGGAAUAGCAUUUGUAAACUAGGCAGACUAGAGUACUGUAGAGGGGGGUAGGAAUUUCAGGUGUAGCGGUGAAAAUGCGUAGAGAUCUGAAGGAAUACCGGUGGCGAAGGCGGCCCCCUCGGACAGAUACUGACACUCAGAUGCGAAAGCGUGGGGAGCAAACAGGAUUAGAUACCCUGGUAG